GACGAACGCUGGCGGCGUGCUUAACACAUGCAAGUCGAACGGAAAGGCCCUGCUUUUGUGUGGUGCUCGAGUGGCGAACGGGUGAGUAACACGUGAGUAACCUGCCCUUGACUUUGGGAUAACUGCAGGAAACUGGGGCUAAUACCGGAUAGGAGCUCCUGCUGCAUGGUGGGGGUUGGAAAGUUUCGGCGGUUGGGGAUGGACUCGCGGCUUAUCAGCUUGUUGGUGGGGUAGUGGCUUACCAAGGCUUUGACGGGUAGCCGGCCUGAGAGGGUGAACGGCCACAUUGGGACUGAGAUACGGCCCAGACUCCUACGGGAGGCAGCAGUGGGGAAUAUUGCACAAUGGGCGGAAGCCUGAUGAAGAAACGCCGCGUGCGGGAUGAAGGCCUUCGGGUUGUAAACCGCAUUAGCCUGUGACGAAGCGUGAGUGACGGUAAUGGGUAAAGAAGCACCGGCUAACUACGUG
rnacentral:rRNA from 1 species